CCCUCAUUCUUUCUCUCAGUUUAUCCAUCCUCCUAAGCGUGCUUAGGGUUUCUCAUUUCUUCCGCUCCAUUCUACAUCACAGCCGCCCUGUUCUUCUCUGUCUUCUUCGAUCUUCAUCUCGACGGAUCGAAGAUUGAAGAUCCAGCUUUUUUUCCAUUAAUCGCCGGUUCCAUUUGAAUCCUAAAACUUAUGUUUUUUUGGGGAUACGGCAUAAGGCGGCGAUAGAGGAUGAGUUCUUUAUUCGAUCUCAACAUUUAUGUUCAAUCUUUCUACGGGCUUGGGUGCUUUCGGUCUAGAAUUUAGGGUUUGUUUUUCGCUUUUAUCAUUUCAAUAUGUUGAUCUGAUUAUCUUUUUUUUUAUUAUGUAUUGAUAUGGAAGCAUGUGUUUCAUUAUAUGAUAAGGGGUGAAGGGUUUGUGACUGCAGGAACCUAAUUUUUUCGUGAAUGAAUUUGUAAUGAUCCAUAUUAAUAUUAGUUAUCUGAUUGGAUCGCAACUGAUCAAGUUUAGAUUUAUAUGGUUUAGGACAACUGAAUAAGGAUCAAGUUUAUUGAAACUUUAUACGUGAAUUGCUGUUGGUUGGUAUGAUUAAGUUAUAUGAAUUGAAAUUCGCUCUCGAAUCAUUCUGGGAUGGCAAGAGCAGUGCCGAGGAUCUGCAAACUGUUGCUGCUGAUCUCAGAUCAUCCAUCUGGAAACAAAAGUUGUCAAAUUAAAAAUGGCUUUCUUAUAACAUGAGGUUGAGGCUGGAAAAGAAUUAUCAAAAGGUUUGGUGGAAGGCAUUGAGCAGAAACCAAAAAAAGGUUGCAAAGAGCAAAGAUGAAGGUUCCAAGAAGAAGAGAAAAGAAAAGGAUAUUGAUGUUAGCAAGGUCAUAUAUUUUUUUAAGGAAAAUAAAGAACAGGAUAGUGACGCAAAGGUCCAGUACGAGAUCUUUGGGACUUCGUUGUGACUUUGAUGACGGGAAAAAUUGUUGGGGUUCUGAUUUAGAAUCUGAUGUGGAUCCAGAAAACGGUGUUGCUGAUGACACAGACUGUUCAGGGGCUGUUAUACAUGCACAUAAAGCUGGCUAAUACAGCUGCAAAUGGCUUCGAAAAACAGUCAUACAGGGCUGGGAAUUAUACCCGUAUAGGGCUGGAAUACUUUUGUUCUAUGGGGGUUGUUAUACAGCCAUGUAAGGCUGUGAAAUACGCUCUUAUGGGGCUAGAAAUAUGCUUGUACAAGGUUUAAUGAAGAUUAACAAGCAUUUUAAAGGAAACUCUCCUUUCUAUGAAGCUUGCUUCUGUUAAUCCUAUACUAUAUGAUUUUGGAGUGGAUUUGGACGCAUUCAUGGUUAAACCUGAUGAGGUAACUAAUUAAAUUAUUAAUUGAGGUUUUGCGAUCCUAUACACACAUAUACAAACAAACUAAAAACGGAUUAGAGAUGCGGAUUUGAGUUCCGUCUAAACAGGUUUCGCUAAAUCUUGGGUUCGGGUUAACGUGGUGGGUUGACCCAUUAAUUUUUAAUUUUUUAAAAUUAUGUUUUUGCGCUAUAAAUAAAAAUGAUUAGGUGCGUCACGAGUCAAAACACAUUCAUUUUGAAACCAAUUGUUUUUAGUAGGACCCAAAACUAUUCUGGCCAGUUUCACCCGUAAACACGUUUACUCUUUUUUUUAAAAACACGUUCUUGAUCAUGACAUUGUUUGCAUUUCUACCAAAGGCUUUUGAUAUGAAAUAUUUUGUUUUAAAAACUGGGCAAUCAAUAAACUCUGCCCAAAAACAAAAUCAGCCAUCCCGAUGCAAUAAAGACUUGAUAUAAAUAUAAUUAUUGUGUGAUUGUUUCUUGAUUUUGGCGAAUUUAUGCAAGUCUUGAACACAAAGUCCAGACACUAAUUAAAGUUGUAAUGGACCAUUUCUACAACACCAAUGGAGCACUAUGAAUAGCUUAACAAACGCUUAUUGAAGUUUGGUUCAUUUUCAUUAUUCCAAAGCUUUCAUUGGAUUUCUUAUCCGUUGUUGAGGUGACUACCCCUUUCUCUUUCGGUUCCUACACCAAUGUCGGUAACGAACCGAAUCGAUACAAAUCGAUCAAAUCAGAUCUUUGUUUAUGCAACAAAUUUGCAGUAUACUAGGGCUGCAACUAGGGUUUCAAAAGGUGUAUAAUUUAGCAACUUAUGUUCAGUUUUGUGUUGUGUUGAUGUUAGAUGAGUCUUGCUAGAUCAGUUAUAUAUACUUGAUUUUUGUUAGACAUGUUCAUGUGUUUUUUUAUGUCUCAACUCCAUAUGUGGUUUUUUUAUUUGUGAAAUUCGUGUUUCUAAAAAACUUGUGAUCAUUCAUUAUUUAUCAUUUAGUGAGAAGUUUAACAUAGUUAUGUUCAUAUGCUCAUGAUU